rnacentral:lncRNA from 1 species
GGCUUAGCAGACUGAUAAUCUAAGUUCUCAGAACUUCUCUCACCCUAGUUUGAAAACCUUGCCCCGGGGAAGUGUUUCUCUGAAGAGAGACUAUUAUUUACCUUUGUUUUGUUUAUGGAAAAGAAAAGUACAAAUGCUGCAUUUAUUGAGAGACUGAAAGGAUGGCAGAUAAAAAUUUCCUCUUCCCUUUGAGACUUUGACAAAUUUCACUGAUAAUCUUUUAAUUCAAAACAACAUCUCAGAUUUUGUCAACGAAGAACAGACUUACUUCAUUUCUAGCAUAACGAAAGAAAUAAAGUAGAUUGUGAGUCUAAUGUAUAUUUCCCACAUCACCUGAAAUUCUUAAUCCCAUUAUAGACAUACUUAAGUGAUUUUCCCCCUAAGUGCAGAAAUAGUGGGUCGGCGCACAUUUUGCUAGCUACCGUGCUGAUGUGUCUGUCUAUGUCAUGGAACACUGUGGCUCCCAAGUUCAGCACUUUGACAAAAUAUAUGACCGCUGAAGCUUUUCUGGGCCUGUGCACGGAGAGCUGGCAGUGACCUAACAUUGACCUCCCUAAGCCGGGAUCCUGCUUUCGGCAAUGUGAUCAAAAGAACAUAUCAGCGGCCUGCACUCUAGACUCCUGUUAAACACCAGGACUUUUCCCUCAUCGGAAUGUUAAUCCACUGAAUAACUUCAGCAAGAAGGCAGGUCUGAGAGGUGACACGAAGAAGUGAAGUAGCAGGAUGAGAAACAUCAUGGAGAAGAAACACAUGUUUGAGCAGGAAUCAGUCUACGGACUUAGGAACCUGAAUGAGCAAAUAAAAUACAUAAAGGGAUUGCAAUGUUAUUCUACAAGGGUUAACACAUUGACAAAAAUAUUUUGUUGUGAAAUAA